CCUCACCACUAACCCCACCAGGCCACCAGUAACCCCAUCAUGUCUCACCUCUCUCUCUCUCUCUCCUUAUUUCUACAACCGCCUUGUUCUCAAGAUGGCCCAACCACUCCCACGCCAUCAACAACUCCACCACUGCCUUGUUCUCACGAUGGCCCAACCACUCCCGCGCCACCAACAGCUCCACCGUCACCAAGAUCCAAGAUCCUCAAGAUCCAUUCUGAAGCCAUGGCAGCUGCUAGGUUAACCACUUGCACCGCGGUGGCUUCCAUAUCCUCGCUUUCCGAUCGCGCCGCCCACGCCGAUUCUUCUUUUCGCUUUCCGUUCUUCUCUUCUUCACCUUCCAAUUCGCCUUCGCCGUCCGACCCUACUUCCGAUUCUAAGACGGAGCAACCUCCCCCCGAUGAACCUAACAAGUCCGGCUUCGACCUGGAAUCGUUAGAAAGAGGAGCCAAAGCCCUCCUUGAAAUCAAUAGUUCUCCCUACUCUAAACAGAUUAUUUUCAUGUGUUGUAAUUCUGCCUUGGAAAUGCAUGAAAGAAAAAAGUCAAAAUAAAAGUAAUAGUCAAUAAAGACAUGGAGCUUGUCCAUAUUUUGUUCACAGGUUGAUGAGUCGGUAAACUUUGAUGGCAUAGAUUGUAGUUUGCUAAUAUAUUUCAGGGUUGUUUUGCAGGUGUUUGACUUAAUGCGAAAGCAGGAACAAACCCCCUUUUUCCUUGUAUUGGUAUUAUGUUGAGCAUUCAAUUGAUGUUGGUAUGAGGUGUUGAUUUUGUUCAACGAAUUGGGUGAUAUUGUUCAACCAUUCAGAUAUUGAUUUUAAUGGAUGAAGAGUUAGCAGGAUUGGUGUUAGAGCUACGGGUAGUGGGUGAUAUGGUGGUGGAAGUGGUGGUGGUGGUGGUGAAGAGAGAGAGAGAGAGAGGUGGUGAUGGAGAGGAAGAAGAUGAUGGAGAAGGAGGUGGGGGUAGCGGUGGUGGGGUGACGGAAUGGGAGAGAAGAGAAAGACCGAAAGAGAGUGAGAGAUACGGGAGGUGUUGGUGGGUCCCUAACCAAGUGGGGUUCCCAAGUUAAAAAAAACAAAAAAAAAAAAACAAGAAGGGGCAUAUAGCCACGAGAAGA